GCCACUCAGAGCCCGGCCGCGGCGCGGGGGGGAGCGGACGAGGGAAAUUUGAAAUCACUCCGGGAGCCUCCCUCGGCCCCUCCUCCGCGGGCGCCGCCUCUCGUCCCCAAAGGCCUGUUAAAUCACCGACGGGGAUAACCAGCCUGAAGGGGACUGCAGAUACCCAACUCUCCUCCUUAUCCAGCCCCCCCACCCCACCCCAGACAGAUCUGGAUGCGGGGCCCAGAGACGGAAAGGCCCCCUCUGAAGUCACACAGCAAGCAGUCUCCGCUUCACCCUCACCUCCAGUCAGUCGCAGUGCCACUGGGGCGCUGCUAUGCCUCUGCAGGUCACCCCGCUGUGGACCCUCUAACUAGCCCUUCCUCCCUUCCACCCAGCUAGGUCUUUGUCAGCCAUCUUUAGCGUAGGGGAGGGGAACGGAGAGAAGAGGCCAUCAGGCCUCUGGCUGCCUGGGUUCCCAGGCUCUGCACACAUCCUCUCCCUGAGGAAGAAGCCCGACUCCAUGAGCACGUCUUGUUGCCUCUGCCGUUAAAUGGCCAUUGUAUUAUCUGAAAAUGGUGCUUCCUAAUAUUACCGUACCUAGUAUUUAUAUUUAUUUAUUUCCUUUAUCUGCUAAUUGUCUCCAUGUGUUAGACUGAGGACAGGAUCAAAGUAGACGCUCAAUAAAUAAGUCUUAAACCAGACAUGGUGGCACAUGCCUGUAAUCCCAGGGUCUCCAGAAGCUGAAUUAGGAGAACUGCAAGUCAAGGCCAGCUUCAGCAACUUAGUGAGGCCCUAAGCAACUUGGUGAGACCCAAUCUCAAAAUUAAAAAUAAAUAAAUAAAUAAAAAGGGCUCGGGAUGUGGCUCAGUGGUUAAGUGCCCUGGGUUCAAGCCCCCAUAUUAAAAAUAAAUGUGUUAAGUGAAUACAGGAAUGAUUGACAGGAGAGUCUACAAGACCCUGUAAUGAGCUAAUGCUGCCUACCUCUUCAGGUAUCUCCUGCCCUCUCCCCUCGCUGACUCCAUUCCAAUCUUCCCUCCUCUUUGCUGUUUGCAGUUUGGACUUGCGCGGCUGUUCCUUCUACCUGGACAUUCUUUUCCCAGAGCACUGCAUGACAAACUUCUCACCACUCAGUUCUCUCCCAAAAGGUCACCUUCCGGAGAAGCUCUUCCCGACUGCCCCACCGAACCACCUCCCCUCUCCAUCACUACUUUUCUAUUUCAUUCUGAUCAGGUAGCUCUUAGAGCUGGCUGAAAUUGAUUUGCAUAUUUCUUUUCUUGUUUACAGGGUUCUACAUACACAUUGUAAAGUUCAUUCUAAAAAGGCAGGAACUACAUCUGUCUAUCUGGGGUUGAUGCAAAUUUUCUUUCUAGUAAUGAUGGGGGGAGGGGAAGCCCAGUACCAAAAGGAGCUGGAUACAAGUUUGUUGAAUGAAUGAAGGAACACAGAUUUCCUGCCUUUGGGGCUCUAGGUCUGAGUAAACCCAGCUUUCUCCUUGCCGUGUGUGUGUGUGUGUGUGUGUGUGUGUGUGUGUGUCUUUCUGUCUGGGGCUUGAACCCAGGGCUCACUCGUGCAGGGCAAGCUCUCUACCAAUGAAGUACGUGCCCAGCUCAGCCCUUUUAUAAAUUUGACUUUUUGGCAGUAUUUCACUAAAUNCUGAGGGGGAGGAGCAGCAGGAAAUUCUUGGUGUUGGGGACAAACACCCAAAAGUAUGUUCCCGCCAGGCUUGGUGGCAUCUGCCUAUAAUCCCAGUGAUUCAAGAGGCUGAAACAAGAGAAUGGCAAAUUGGUUGUCAGUGUGGGCAAUUUAGUGAGACUCUGUCUCAAAAUAAAAAUAAAAAUUUCUGGGGUUAUAGAUUAAUGGUAGAGCACUGUGGAUUCAAUCCCCAGUACAAAAAUAAAAUAAAGUGUAUUAUUCUGGUCAAUUGCUACAGGAAGACCAAUAAAGAUGAUAAAGAGGAUCUCUUCUCUCUAGCUUGCGCU
rnacentral:lncRNA from 1 species